CAACAUAUCUUACAUAAUUUGUGAGAGUUACAAAUCUGUGAUAAUCAUCAAGUAGACUUUGUGACUUCGUUACAAUUCUGUAUUCACCCUAAUUACGUUGAAAAUUAAUACAUAUGUACAAUUCACAUCCAUGAUAAAUGUCUUAAAGUGGAAAUCUUUAUUGAAAAGUUAUCCAUAAACAGAUCAAAAUCAAGAGUGGUCUCUAUCAUGUUACUGAAACUUCUUGGUUAGCUUCUCCACUUUGACACCCAAUUACAGGGUAAUCAUGGGUAAGAGUUUAAACUUUUUGCAUUUAUUUACAACCCUUUCCCCUCCAAAAACAUCUAGCUGGUACAUCUGUUUAAUAAGUAUCAAACCAUAAACCCCAGCCUUUUUGUGAAUUCUUUGGCACCUCUUGAAAUGGACUCCAACUUGUGUCCCCAAUGCUUCAUGGUAGCUACAACACUAGUGGCUGUGCAGAAGAGCUGAAUAGCUGCACAGCAGUAGAGCUCAAAAUACAAGAUCUCCAUACAUUAUUCAUCCCAGAUUUCUCAUAAAUACAUCAGGAGGUGGGGAAAUAUCUUUGUUUCAGUCAGGGUGAGUAGACAGUUUUUACUCCUUACUUAAUUUACAUGGUUUCUUUCUUCAAAUUCCAAACAAAAGACAGAAGUCUAAUUUAUAAACAAGCCAUAAAAAUCUGUUCCAUGCUGCAUCUUGUCUUAUAUACUGUGAGCUGUGUAAUGAUUUUUCUUCUAACUAUUUACAUAUUUUUUAAAACUUGUUUGUCAUCAAAGGGAGCAAAAUAGACAACCACUCCUCUGAGUUUCAUGCCCAGGUUUUUUAUUUCUUUUUCAUUUUUUUUUCUUUUGGUAGCUCUGUACCAACUAUUUUUAAUUCCUAGAAGAUAAAUUUCUCUUCCCAUCUCCAAGCCAAAGGCUGAGGCUGAUCGAUUUCUCCUAAGAUCUGCUUAGGAACACCAGUGAGAACAUGAAUGACCUCUCAAAGGCUUUUUGUUGAGGAGUGGUAUUAACCAGUUAAUUAUUUUUUCCCUCAUUUUAAAGAAGACACAACCACUAUUCUGAGAACAGAGAAAUGCAGAUAUUCAGCAUCCAUUAAUUCACACUGCACAGUAUCCUCUCACGUUGGAAUUUACAUUUGCAUAUUCAUAUUCCAAUAAUGAGAGUCUGUUACAGACAGAAAUAACAUCGAACAGAGAUUUAUACCACAGAUCCCGACGACUCCAGAUCAAGGUAGGUCUUCACAACUACUCAUCUCUCUUUUCCCCUCCUAUGUAUUUGGAAAAUCUUAAACAGAGCAUAUUGCUUUAAUAUCUAUCAGAUGUGAGCAUUUCUUAAGCCAAGUAGAAGACUGCAUGAAAUCUUGGUCCCAGGGAGGCCAUGGAGAUUUGUGGUACAAGUAUCUCAUCCAGUACAUUUAAAUUUACUUUUUUUUUUUUUUUUUUUAAUUCUACCUCCAACUUGCAAUUAUCCUUGUUAGCAAAUAAUGGUUUAGGCAUGGAUGACAGCGGUAAAACAAGCUAGCUAUAUUUUUAAUUCACACCCUACAUAAGAAACAAUAUACUCUCUUUCCUAAUAUUUUUGUGGGGACAAAAAUUCCUGUCCAUAAUCCUAUUGCUACUGGUUUCUAAUGCAAAUAUGUUUGGAGCCAAAGGCACAAUAUAUUUUAAAGGAACUCUGCUGAAGCAGGAAGGAGGUUUGAACAAAUUUCCGUAAUCCUAAGGUCUGUUUCCCCUCUGCCUCCUUAAGGCACUAAAGGAUUUCCGAAGGAUUAGUAGCAAAACCCAGCAUGUACAUGUCCC
ensembl:lncRNA